GCUGGGCGCAGUGGCGCAUGCCUGUAAUCCCAGCUACUUGGAGGCCGAGGCAGGAGAAUCGCUUGAGCCUGGGAGGCGGAGGUUGCAGUGAGUCAAGAUUGCGCCACUGCACUCCAGCCUGGGCAACAAGAGCGAGACUCUGUCUCCA
rnacentral:sRNA from 1 species